UUCCUGCUUCGCCUAGCGGGCUACAAAGAGCUGCACCGUCUGACAUUCAGAUGAUAAAUAGUUUGCACCUGAGCCAGGCUUGCGUUACUUCCGUGACUUCAGUCUUUGCUCUCCUACCCUCUCACUUACUAGCUGAGCGCUCUGGGGGAGGUUAUCUAACCUUCCUGAGCCUCGUAUUCCUCAUACCGAAAACGGAGGUAACCAGAGUAACUACAUCCAAAAAUUGAGAGAACUGAAUGAGAUAAAUAAGGCGAGGUGUUUUUAACACGUCCUGCACAUGAAGACAAUACCAUGAUCAUGAAAUCACUGGAGAAAUCUGCCGGGGAAGGGCUGUGAGGAUAGUCUCAUCUGUAACGCAUGUGUCCUCCAGAAAAAAAGUAUAUGGCUUUCAGACUAAAUUUUACUCCUUAUCCAAAUGGAAAGAAUAUCUAAAGAGACAAAGUGUAAUAAUCCAAGAAUCUUCUAUUGUGAGAAUAAUGGAGAUUGACAUUGUGAAGUAUAUAGAAAAACAUAAAAGAACUUCUUCCUCCUCUCCCCCCACCCCACCCCAGCUACGUGGAGAAAUGGCCACAGCUGCUUCUCUUUUGUCUGCCAGGGGCGCCAGGCAUAUCUCUUCUCACACAUGCUUGAGUGACUGCCAGCCAUCUCCCUGUAAGAAGGUCUGCAUAGGGAAAUAAGCACUACUGAACGGAGACCAAUUAUUAGAUGGCACUGUUGCGAUUCCAGCCAAGCAAGAGAGAAGCAGUGCUGUAAGACAGAAGAAAAUAAUCAAGAAAUUCAUUUUGGACCCUCGUGGUUGUGUCUCCAAACUACAAGCAGUGGUUUAGAACAGGCGGAGUAGGAUAAGAGCAAUGAUGGCAAGAACUGAAGGCUGGGGACAGGAGCGUCACCAAGGGAGAAAGGAGUGAAGAGGAAAACAGUGCAAACUCCUGAAGAUCCAGUUGGAAGGAAGAGAAAUCAGAUGAAUUAUAAUCAACCAUUUUCACUGCAUUUCCAAGAAUGAAAAAUUAAGAUAAUAAAUAGACAAAUUUACAACCACAGAAUAUCAUGUUUAAAAGAUUCUGUAGGAAAAAAGAAAUAUGAUUUCAUUAAAACAUUGACUUUAAAAUAGACAUAUUAAGAUAGAAAUAUCAAACCAAAUUAUGAACAUUAAAACAAACUAUUUUUAGGAAUAAUUCUAGGUUGGGCCUUCAAUUUUACAUCAGUGAUUUUAUUUUGGAGUGAUUUGGAUUUUUUGUCUCUAGACCAGCACAAGUGGAUUAUUAUCAUUCAGUCUUUGAAAGGAGAAGAUACAGUUUCCAGUCACUAAUUUACAAUAUUGUUCUAUCAGUAUCUUCCAUGAGAGGUGAUUUAAUAAAUUUUUUCUCAAUGUGAAAAGAUCCAGGAGACCCUGUUGCAUGUACUGGAAAAUAAGUUUGUUGAGGAUUUAUUUAUAUAUUUCUCAUAAUAACUUCCGAACUUGAGAAAAUGUUUGUCAUUUCAGCACAAAGGGCCAAAAGAGUGCCACAUUAUGAAAAGACUAUCUUGGGAAAGAAUGAAUCUUAGAAUCAUAUAUUUAUAUGUUUGUCUUUCAUUUUUAGAUUUGAUCACUUGAAUUUUAUUUUUAUAUGGUACCUAACAGGAGUACACAUUCUUUUAUUUCCCAUUAUUACAAGUAAAAGUGGAUCACAAUAAGAGGCUAUUACAAGAAUUUAAUAGAUUUUAUACUUCUAUUGAGCCAAUAGGCAUGCUCUAUGAUUCAUGUAAGUUUAGGAGGUAUUACACUUUUUACGUCUUUCAUUCAUAGUGUACAGUCUGCUUUACAAACAUCUCUUUUAUAUUUACAGUGUUACUAAGGUACAUUAUGAUUGGCUUCAUAUGGAAAAACGACUCAAAGAGUUUAAGUAUUUUUAUGGAAAUAUGCAGUUAGUAGGCGGUAAUGUCUAAAUAAGAACCCAAGUCUUGUAAUUUCAAACUGAGUGCAAUUUCCAUUAUGCUAUUUGUGCUUCACCAGAAGGGGGCUUAUCUGUGCCUGGUUCCCAGCUUUUUCUUAGUAUGAAAUAUACAACUUUGCUGAUUAGUUAUAAGCAAUCCUAGCAUUUGCAUAGCCUUCAUUACUAAUUAAUAUACUAUAGAAUACCUAUUAAAUACUGAAAACUAUAUUUGGUGAUUUACAGCUAUUCUCUAAUGCUUACAAUGAUUUUAAAAGUUAGUUGAUAGGAAAAUUGAGAUUCAGAGAGAUGAAAUAACAUGUUUGAGGUCACACAGUUGUCAGAAUUCAUGGCCAUGUCUGUUUAAUUUUAUGCUUCUUUCAGGAUCUCCUGCUCUGUUGGAGACAGAACACUUUUUUAUCUCUAUGUGACUCUAUUGUUAAGUCUUUUUACUUGGUCCCCCAAGGACCUACCAGUUGGUUAACAUAUUUAACCUGCCUGUUUCUCUAAGUUAUUGGUUAUAUAUACCCAUUUUCUGGAAGAGAAACACGAGACACCUUGUCAACAUAAACAGUAUUGCAAGAGAGUUUUAAAAAAAGAAGUAUUGCUAAAGGAAGAGAUUAAUAAUAGCUAAAGCAUUCUAGAGUUGAGCAUGAGGCAAAAAAAAAAAAAAAAAAAUGUGGCUGGGAGAGAGCUAUUAACAAUCUGUCUAGAGGCCCUUCAUUGUGUGUUGUUUUUUAUAUCAAAAUCAAUCACUUCUUAGCAAUAAGUUCUGAGUCACUUGACAGUAGUCUGAUAAGAUAAAGCUACCUCUAGUGCAUUUCUGGUCCCAACCUGCAGACCAGAAACCACUCAGUGUCCCUCCCUGAGUCACUCUGUGAGUAGGGCACAGGAGGGUAAAGGGAAGUCACAGUUUUAGCCCCUGUGCUCUGAGGACAAACUCAUACAUUCUGGUUGUAUCUUCAACUUCUCAAUUAGGGAAGAAACUGUUAAAUAUGGUUUCAAAGAUAUACCAACUAUGGAAUACUAUUUUUAUAGAUUGGAAAACAGAUUUGAUCUUGUAUGUAGAAGUAUCUUGGUCUUGGAUGUAAUGAAAAUACUCCCAGUAGGUGGUUCCCAACUCAAUUGUCAUUUGUUUCCUGAAGUCAUCUAUUCCAAAAAUAGUUUUCUUCCCACUUUUUAAAUUUCCAUAGUAUUUCAUAACUUUAUCCUAAAAUUUGUCAAACCGUACUGUCAUGAUUGAUUUCUGUGCCCUCUCAGUUCAUCCUCAGCCGUUACAUGAAUGUUCUCCUUGGCAGCAGCUCCGCAAUAUGUUAUUCACUUUCAUGAUUCAAGUGCUGCCAUGACUUCAGCCUUUGUAGGAGGCACUAGUCUUAGAAGAUUUAUUGAAUGUCUGAGUCCAGUUACAAACAAUUGUAGCAUUUUCGUAACAUCUUGAGAAGUGGUUAAUUGAUAUCAUCCCUGAGUCUAAUGUAAAAUCUGAUAAAUACUCCAAUGUUGUUGAAAAAUGUCUACCUUUAGUUACAUGUAAGAAAUCAUUUGAAUACUAAGGAGAUGGAGAGGGGGACAAUGCCAUCUCUGGCUUCCUUCCAGAGAUCACAAGAAUGUAUCAGGCAAUUGGAAAUUUUAUAAACAGGAAAAGGUUUUAUCUGAUUCAAGUUAAGUGACUCUGGACUGAAAACUGUAAAUUGCUCCGGUUUCCAUUUAGGAUCUUCCUAUAUCCUGGAUCAUGUGAGGCCAAGAAUAGCACAAUAUGGACUGCUGGAAAAUACUAUUGUCAUGAUAAUUAACAAUACAAACAGGCUAUGGGAAAAGAUCUGGGCUGUGCAUACUGGAUCACACAAAAAGAGUGUUACCAAGGAGACACCAUGGCUACCACAGAGAUAAGUGGCUCAAGUAAAAGACAGGAUACAGAAAAAGCUGGUCAGCCACAAGCAAGCACAGGGCAAUGCUCUUAGCUGCUUUUUCGGUUGGUUGGUUGGUUAAUUUUGGUUUUUAUUUUGUUCUGCCUGCCUAUUAUUGCCUGUAACUAUACGUGUGAAACAAUGAUUGUGCAGUCAGUGCCUUUUCAUCAGCUAUGCCAUCUCUACUGAAGGACUUCAUCUCAAAUACAGUGAAAAUUCUGAGCUUUUUAAAACAUUCAGGUUAUGCUGUACGGUACUGGUUUGAGGCAUUCCACAAGAACAUUUGAGAUUGGCUCAGAUGUAGAUUUAA